UCAUAGCUUAAUCGAAUAAAGCAUUGGUCUCCGAAGCCAAAGACUAUGGGUUUGAAUCCCAUUGGGC
rnacentral:tRNA from 1 species